AGUCGAACGAACUCUGGUAUUGAUUGGUGCUUGCAUCAUGAUUUACAUUUGAGUGAGUGGCGAACUGGUGAGUAACACGUGGGAAACCUGCCCAGAAGCGGGGGAUAACACCUGGAAACAGAUGCUAAUACCGCAUAACAACUUGGACCGCAUGGUCCGAGUUUGAAAGAUGGCUUCGGCUAUCACUUUUGGAUGGUCCCGCGGCGUAUUAGCUAGAUGGUGGGGUAACGGCUCACCAUGGCAAUGAUACGUAGCCGACCUGAGAGGGUAAUCGGCCACAUUGGGACUGAGACACGGCCCAAACUCCUACGGGAGGCAGCAGUAGGGAAUCUUCCACAAUGGACGAAAGUCUGAUGGAGCAACGCCGCGUGAGUGAAGAAGGGUUUCGGCUCGUAAAACUCUGUUGUUAAAGAAGAACAUAUCUGAGAGUAACUGUUCAGGUAUUGACGGUAUUUAACCAGAAAGCCACGGCUAACUACGUGCCAGCAGCCGCGGUAAUACGUAGGUGGCAAGCGUUGUCCGGAUUUAUUGGGCGUAAAGCGAGCGCAGGCGGUUUUUUAAGUCUGAUGUGAAAGCCUUCGGCUCAACCGAAGAAGUGCAUCGGAAACUGGGAAACUUGAGUGCAGAAGAGGACAGUGGAACUCCAUGUGUAGCGGUGAAAUGCGUAGAUAUAUGGAAGAACACCAGUGGCGAAGGCGGCUGUCUGGUCUGUAACUGACGCUGAGGCUCGAAAGUAUGGGUAGCAAACAGGAUUAGAUACCCUGGUAGUCCAUACCGUAAACGAUGAAUGCUAAGUGUUGGAGGGUUUCCGCCCUUCAGUGCUGCAGCUAACGCAUUAAGCAUUCCGCCUGGGGAGUACGGCCGCAAGGCUGAAACUCAAAGGAAUUGACGGGGGCCCGCACAAGCGGUGGAGCAUGUGGUUUAAUUCGAAGCUACGCGAAGAACCUUACCAGGUCUUGACAUACUAUGCAAAUCUAAGAGAUUAGACGUUCCCUUCGGGGACAUGGAUACAGGUGGUGCAUGGUUGUCGUCAGCUCGUGUCGUGAGAUGUUGGGUUAAGUCCCGCAACGAGCGCAACCCUUAUUAUCAGUUGCCAGCAUUAAGUUGGGCACUCUGGUGAGACUGCCGGUGACAAACCGGAGGAAGGUGGGGAUGACGUCAAAUCAUCAUGCCCCUUAUGACCUGGGCUACACACGUGCUACAAUGGAUGGUACAACGAGUUGCGAACUCGCGAGAGUAAGCUAAUCUCUUAAAGCCAUUCUCAGUUCGGAUUGUAGGCUGCAACUCGCCUACAUGAAGUCGGAAUCGCUAGUAAUCGCGGAUCAGCAUGCCGCGGUGAAUACGUUCCCGGGCCUUGUACACACCGCCCGUCACACCAUGAGAGUUUGUAACACCCAAAGUCGGUGGGGUAACCUUUUAGG
rnacentral:rRNA from 2 species